rnacentral:rRNA from 1 species
UACAGAGGGGGCAGGCGUUGUUCGGAAUUACUGGGCGUAAAGGGCGCGUAGGCGGCCCGCUAAGUCGAACGUGAAAUCCCCGGGCUCAACCCGGGAACUGCGUCCGAUACUGGCAGGCUUGAAUCCGGGAGAGGGAUGCGGAAUUCCAGGUGUAGCGGUGAAAUGCGUAGAUAUCUGGAGGAACACCGGUGGCGAAGGCGGCUUCCUGGACCGACACUGACGCUGAGGCGCGAAAGCUAGGGGAGCAAACGGG